AUAAAUUGUUUACACCAUGGAUACAAGUGAUCAAACUUUUACUUUUGAUGCAUUUUUGACCUGGAAAACGGAGGCUUUACGUGAAUAUCUUGGAAAACGCGGACUUGCGAAGGACAAAGCCAAGCAAGAACUUGCGGCUUUAUGUUAUUCAGCACAUGUAAUGAAAAUUCCAGAAAUACCAUCGGCAGCGGAAAAUGUUAAGGUCAGACAGUUCGAUAAUCAAAAUUUACUGAAUGUUAACGGGACCACUAUACCAGAUCCAUUUACUCUUCACAAGAACUGGGCAGACGAACGUGAUGGGAUGAAAAGCUGGCCACCCGUUUAUCUGAGUGACAUUAUUGAAUAUGCCGGUGUUUGUGACACCAACUUUAACAUAACCAAGUUCCUCCAACAAUAUAAAUUAGGUAAAGGACAGUCAUUUGUUGAUGCGGGCCACACUGGGGAGAUAUUUCAUCACCAGAUCUCCAAGGAAUCAACCGUGUGCCUGGAUUGUUCAGAUUGCAUCAGGAGAAAACGUACCCAGGAGAAAACGUACCUAAUUUCUAGGCACAUUAAAGACGAUCCCCAUAAGAUAUGGAUAUGCGUUGAGAAAGAGACAGGGACCAUCAGGUCAUCAUAUUGUACAUGCACAGCAGGGUUAGGAUCUCCCUGUGUCCAUGUUGUUUCUGUUCUUUUCCGCAUUGAGACAGCUCAUCGCUUAGGAGUCUCAGCAUGCACUUCUUUACCCUGCUCUUGGACUGUGCCCGCUUUCAAGUCCACCAGAGCGCCACCUUCAAAGCUGAAAGAACUUGAAGUGUCAAAGCCAGUUCAUUCAUUGACUUGUGGCAAAAAGCGUUCCCUUGUAUCAACAAUUAAGAAGGAGUUUAACCCAGUACAUAAUACAACCAAGGACUGUUUAAAGGACAUAACAGAUGCGAUAAGAAAUUCGAUACCAAAUGCAUGUGUUUUUAAAGGUAUAGAUAUACCAAAAGAAGAAGUGAAAAUCAGAACAGAAGAGCCCGUCAACAUACAGAAGUAUAUGCUAGAGAAAAUGGUCAUGGAUGGACUAGAAGGCCCAAGUAUAGCUCACAAUCUGAGGCAGGAAACUGUUGAGGCACUUAACAAAGCUACUAUGGGUCAGCAGGCAAACAGUACAUGACAUAAUUUAAGGAAAGGUAGAAUCACA
rnacentral:sRNA from 1 species